rnacentral:lncRNA from 1 species
CUUACUCAUGGUUGCAGCCAGGUUUCAAACUGGUGUUUUUCCACAAAACAAGUAAAUUGCUCUACAGAUCAUCAUGCUUUCUCGCCAGUGGUAGGGUGUUUGUUUCUUCCUGAGUCAGACCAAAUUUUUAGUACCAGAUGCACACAAGAAAGUCUGCUUUAUUUGCUUUAGUGUUUUAUAUUAGUACUUGAUUUUGUUGGGUGGUGAGCUGCAGGAGUUACAGUGAUAGAUCAAAGACGCCAAGUUUCAGUUACAUCUAAUUGGAUUUCACUGACUCAAAAGAUUCCCAAGACCAAUAAAGCAGCACUGAAAGUGGCUAUUUACCCUUGCCUUUUGCCACAGCUGUUCUAGAGCGCAGGAAAAAGCUGGUGCUCUUCUUUCAGAAAUGUGAGACAUGGGAGUGCCUACAAACAUGACAGGAAAUAUUUCCUUGGAUGCAUCGGUCAUCUCCAUAACCCAGAUUUUUCUACAGAUUGUUGUGCUGGUCACUGAGUUACCAGGUUCAUCUGCUCCUGCUCUCAGACCUACGCUUGUGCAGCCAGAAAGUAUGUGGGAGUCUGCACGGGCAGAAGUUGUGCUGCAGCAGUUUGAGAUGACUGAUGCCUGCUUUGGGGUGCUGCAAGAUGUUAAACUGCCAGAGAUCGCAUAAUAUCCCUCAUACUGAAGGAAAGGCCACAGUUGUCUUGACCCUGCACUGAGUUUCACCGAGAGAUCAGAGGAGCCUUUACUAAAUAUCCUGGAUCGUGUCAUAAGGGACGCAUCACAUCAGCAAUAACAAGGUAUGGUAACAAUACAUCUGAGGGUUACAAAGGUGUAAGUCAAGUCCAGAACCUUGUAUUACCUAUUGUGAAAAGUGACCCCUGGCCUAAAAACAUUGCCACCUGCAGAGAAUGUUUUUCUCUUAGACUAGAUGUAUACACCAAAUCUGUAAGUGAAGUAAAGCAUUAAGAAAAAACAGUUACAAUGCAGCAAUUAAGCACUGUUAGAUGGAAUGCUUGUUCUAAUGAGUACAGGAGAAUCUCCCCUAGAACUUAAAUUAAAAUACUGAUACUGAACAUAAAAAAAAAAAAAAAAAAAAAAAAAAAAAAAAAAAAAAAAAAAAAAAAAAAAGAGGAGGAAAGGAGGAAAGAAAAAACAAAUGUCUUCUGAAAAGGGAAAGCAAUAGAUGGAAAAACUGAAAUCAAAUUCUGAAAUCAAUUUAGUGAAGAAAAAAACAUUAAAUAUAGAGGUCCAUUUUUUGGCUCAGUGCACCACAAAAAGCAGGGUUUUUUUGCAUCACGGAAAGAACUUUCUUGAUAUUGAUCCAGAGCUCCCUUUUCAGUAUCCCACACUCUGAAGACACAGAUGCUUUGUGUAGAGCACAGUAAUAUAAAUCCAGAAUAUUUCACUCCGUUCAUACAUGUGGGCCAAUUAAAGGAAAAACAAAUUGAGAUCUAUUUCAGUUGAAAUCAGUUCUACAGCAAAUAAAUACAUCUCCAUAAAUGCA